GACGAACGCUGGCGGCGUGCCUAAUACAUGCAAGUCGAACGCAGUGGGGACGGGUGAGUAACACGUGGGUAACCUCCCAUCAGAGGGGAUAACACUUGGAAACAGGUGCUAAACCGAUAUUGAUGGUUGGACCCGCGGUGCAUUAGUUAGUUGGUGAGGUAACGGCUCACCAAGGCCACGAUGAAUAGACGACCUGAGAGAGUGAUCGGCCAAACGGGGACUGAGACACGGCCCAGAGUCCUACGGGAGGAAGCAGGAGGGAAUCUUCGGCAAUAGACGAAAGUCGGACCGAGCAACGCCGCGUGAGUGAAGAAGGUUUUCGGAUCGUAAAACUCUGUUGUUAGAGAAGCGGUAUCUAACCAGAAAGCCACGGCUAACUACGUGCCAGCAGCCGCGGUAAUAC
rnacentral:rRNA from 1 species